UUUUGCUUUCAGUUUAGUUUUAGUAACUGUAGUGCUUCAAAGACAACUUAUUUUACUUCAAUUCUACUUCAAUGACUGAAAAUAAUUUUAGUUAACACUGCUUGCAAGCCACUUUUACUCGAAAAUAUUUUGUUCUUGUGUAGAGAAAGUAUAUAUUAACUAUGUUUUCCAUUACUUUUUAGAUUGUAUUCAAUUCUAUGACUACGAAAACACAAUUUUAAAAUCCCCUGACACUUCCAUGACUGUGGGAACAGUGCAUGUUGAUUCAGGAACAUCCUACUUGGUGAAUCACUGUGUACCACAUCCUGUUGAACCCAGCUCUGCUUUUCCUAAUCAUAAACACUGUCGUUCUCUUAAUUUUCUACUCAACUCAACCAGGUCUCUCACCUCGGUUUCUGCUCAAUCUACUGUCAGUCUCUAUCAAUCUAAGGAGACACUCUAUACUUAUCUUCACCAUCUACUGCUUUGCUGUCAACAAACCUUCUAAAAUCUCUAUCGUCUAGCUGUGCUGCCAUCAUUUCUCUGAGGUCUAGACUAGAACUGGGCCUCACUGUGGGCUCUGUGAAAGCAUGUUUGGGUGUCCUGGGGGCUUCUGGGAUAUCUCCUGUAAUGUAGAGAUAGCCCAGAGGGGUAUCCGGACAAAAGAGAUCUGUAUGCAACACACAAAAGGCAGGGGGAGUUGGGAUGUUUGUGUUGGUGGGGGGUUAAGCCUCUCCUCUUUAAUGUAAAGGGUUAACUUCUCUGCUCGAUUUUAUAGCCUUUGCCUCUCCCACGUCUCCCGUCUACUGUAACCUCCACCCAUUUCCCUUAUUCCAGUGCUGGAGAGAGACGGGAAGAGGGUAUGCAGUUACAGAAACAUCUGGAGCAGUUUACUGUGAAUGCCUUUGUGCCCAGCAAAAGGGGCUUUCCACUUCUUGGGUGAAUUUCACAAAAGCAUGCAGAUUUUACCCCCAAAUCAAAAUAUGAAAUGUAAAAAAUGCUAUUUUGCAUAAAGAAAUUGAAGCUUAUUUUAGGACUAAUUUCCAUGAAAAUGUAUCACAUUUUGCACAUAAUGCAAACUGUCAUUAUUGUUUGACAUUUGAGGGUUUUGCAAUUCCCAUUAAUCUCAGUUGUGAUCAGAUUUCCAUUUUUAUUAAAAAUGACUAUAAUACAAGCAUAAAUUAAAAGUUAAAAACAUGUUGUAUAAAUACAAGUUAAAUAAUAUAUAUUUUUUGCAAUGUAGAAACGGUUUAUUUUUGCUUAAUGAACUUAAUUUUUAAAGACAUUUCUUACUUAUAUAUUUCGAUUCUGGGGUGAAAUAUGCACAAGUUUAUGGGUCGAGGGUUUUAUAAGAUUCAACAACAUACUAGGUCUAAACUCUAGUGAGGAAAUCGUGUUUUUUUUUUUUUUCUCUCUUUUUUUCUUUUUCUUUCUAUGCUUAAAUUCAUUUGGCUGUGUGAAACCGGUGGCUGAAAGGAG